AGCAGCCGCGGUAAUUCCAGCUCCAAUAGCGUAUAUUAAAGUUGUUGCAGUUAAAAAGCUCGUAGUUGGAUUUCGGGAUCAAUAUGUUGGUCGUGCCUCGGUACGUACUAGCUUAUUGGUUUCUCCUUUCUGAAGAACCAUGAUGUCAUUUAUUUGGUGUCGUGGGGAAUCAGGACUGUUACUUUGAAAAAUUAGAGUGUUUAAAGCAGGCUCACGCUUGGAUACAUUAGCAUGGAAUAAUGAAAUAGGACGUUUGAUUCUAUUUUGUUGGUUUCUAGGAUCGACGUAAUGAUUAAUAGGGAUAGUUGGGGGCAUUAGUAUUCAAUUGUCAGAGGUGAAAUUCUUGGAUUUAUUGAAGACUAACUACUGCGAAAGCAUUUGCCAAGGAUGUUUUCAUUAAUCGAGAACGAAAGUUAGGGGAUCGAAGACGAUCAGAUACCGUCGUAGUCUUGACCAUAAACUAUGCCGACUAGGGAUCGGAUGAUGUUAAUUUUUUAAUGUACUCAUUUCGGCGUACCG
rnacentral:misc_RNA from 1 species